UCAGCUUGUUGGUGGGGUGAUGGCCUACCACAGGCGACGACGGGUAGCCGGCCUGAGAGGGCGACCGGCCACACUGGGACUGAGACACGGCCCAGACUCCUACGGGAGGCAGCAGUGGGGAAUAUUGCACAAUGGGCGAAAGCCUGAUGCAGCGACGCCGCGUGAGGGAUGACGGCCUUCGGGUUGUAAACCUCUUUCAGCAGGGAAGAAGCGAAAGUGACGGUACCUGCAGAAGAAGCGCCGGCUAACUACGUGCCAGCAGCCGCGGUAAUACGUAGGGCGCGAGCGUUGUCCGGAAUUAUUGGGCGUAAAGAGCUCGUAGGCGGCUUGUCGCGUCGGAUGUGAAAGCCCGGGGCUUAACCCCGGGUCUGCAUUCGAUACGGGCAGGCUAGAGUUCGGUAGGGGAGAUCGGAAUUCCUGGUGUAGCGGUGAAAUGCGCAGAUAUCAGGAGGAACACCGGUGGCGAAGGCGGAUCUCUGGGCCGAUACUGACGCUGAGGAGCGAAAGCGUGGGGAGCGAACAGGAUUAGAUACCCUGGUAGUCCACGCCGUAAACGUUGGGAACUAGGUGUGGGCGACAUUCCACGUUGUCCGUGCCGCAGCUAACGCAUUAAGUUCCCCGCCU
rnacentral:rRNA from 1 species